UACGGGGGGGGCAAGCGUUGUUCGGAGUUACUGGGCGUAAAGGGCUCGUAGGCGGCCAACUAAGUCGGACGCGAAAUCCCUCGGCUUAACCAAGGAAGUGCAUCCGAAACUGCUGUACUUGAGUACGAAAGAGGAUCGCGGAAUUCCCGGUGUAGAGGUGAAAUUCGUAGAUAUCGGGAGGAACACCAGUGGCGAAGGCGGCGAUCUGGGUCGAUACUGACGCUGAGGUGCGAAAGCGUGGGGAGCAAACAGG
rnacentral:rRNA from 1 species